rnacentral:rRNA from 1 species
CCUACGGGUGGCAGCAGUGAGGAAUAUUGGUCAAUGGACGAGAGUCUGAACCAGCCAAGUAGCGUGAAGGAUGACUGCCCUAUGGGUUGUAAACUUCUUUUAUAUGGGAAUAAAACGUUCCACGUGUGGGAUUUUGUAUGUACCAUAUGAAUAAGGAUCGGCUAACUCCGUGCCAGCAGCCGCGGUAAUACGGAGGAUCCGAGCGUUAUCCGGAUUUAUUGGGUUUAAAGGGAGCGUAGGUGGAUUGUUAAGUGAGUUGUGAAAGUUUGCGGCUCAACCGUAAAAUUGCAGUUGAAACUGGCAGUCUUGAGUACAGUAGAGGUGGGCGGAAUUCGUGGUGUAGCGGUGAAAUGCUUAGAUAUCACGAAGAACUCCGAUUGCGAAGGCAGUUCACUGGACUGCAACUGACACUGAGGCUCGAAAGUGUGGGUAUCAAACAGGAUUAGAUACCCUAGUAGUC